rnacentral:rRNA from 1 species
CCUACGGGGAGCAGCAGUGAGGAAUAUUGGACAAUGGCCGAGAGGCUGAACCAGCCAAGUCGCGUGAGGGAAGAAUGUCCUAUGGAUUGUAAACCUCUUUUGUCAGGGAGCAAAGUCACCCACGUGUGGGGGUUGGAGAGUACCUGAAGAAAAAGCAUCGGCUAACUCCGUGCCCGCAGCCGCGGUAAUACGGAGGAUGCGAGCGUUAUCCGGAUUUAUGGGGUUUAAAGGGUGCGUAGGCGGGUUAUCAAGUCAGCGGUAAAAUCGAGGAGCUCAACUCCAUACAGCCGUUGAAACUGAUGAUCUUGAGUGGGCGAGAAGUAUGCGGAAUGCGUGGUGUAGCGGUGAAAUGCAUAGAUAUCACGCAGAACUCCGAUUGCGAAGGCAGCAUACCGGCGCCCGACUGACGCUGAAGCACGAAAGCGUGGGUAUCGAACAGGAUUAGAUACCCUUGUAGUC